UUGACAGCCCUGGAGACUGAAGUUUUCAAUUUAUCCACGCAACAGGGCAGCAGAAGCGAAAGCCUCAGUCCUGACCCAGAAGGGCCACUUGUAAUGGUAAGGAGCUAUUUCAGCCUCUAUGCCUAUUUAGUCCGUGGUCACU
ensembl:misc_RNA